CUAAUCAAAUGUGACUCAUCUCCUAUAGGCCUAUUCCAUGACUCACCUCCUGUAGGUCUAUUCCAUGACUCACCUCCUAUAGGUCUAUUCCAUGGGACUGACUCACCUCCUAUAGGCCUAUUCCAUGGGACUGACUCACCUAUAGGUCUAUUCCAUGGGACUGACUCACCUCCUAUAGGUCUAUUCCAUGGGACUGACUCACCUAUAGGUCUAUUCCAUGGGACUGACUCACCUCCUGUAGGUCUAUUCCAUGGGACUGACUCACCUCCUACAGGUCUAUUCCAUGGGACUGACUCACCUCCUAUAGGUCUAUUCCAUGGGACUGACUCACCUCCUAUAGGCCUAUUCCAUGGGACUGACUCACCUCCUAUAGGUCUAUUCCAUGGGACUGACUCACCUCCUAUAGGUCUAUUCCAUGGGACUGACUCACCUAUAGGUCUAUUCCAUGGGACUGACUCACCUCCUGUAGGUAUAUUCCAUGGGACUGACUCACCUCCUAUAGGUCUAUUCCAUGGGACUGACUCACCUCCUAUAGGCCUAUUCCAUGGGACUGACUCACCUCCUAUAGGCCUAUUCCAUGGGACUGACUCACCUCCUAUAGGCCUAUUCCAUGGGACUGACUCACCUAUAGGUCUAUUCCAUGGGACUGACUCACCUCCUAUAGGUCUAUUCCAUGGGACUGACUCACCUAUAGGUCUAUUCCAUGGGACUGACUCACCUAUAGGCCUAUUCCAUGGGACUGACUCACCUAUAGGUCUAUUCCAUGGGACUGACUCACCUAUAGGUCUAUUCCAUGGGACUGACUCACCUCAUAUAGGUCUAUUCCAUGGGACUGACUCACCUAUAGGUCUAUUCCAUGGGACUGACUCACCUAUAGGCCUAUUCCAUGGGACUGACUCACCUCCUAUAGGUCUAUUCCAUGGGACUGACUCACCUAUAGGCCUAUUCAUUGGGACUGACUCACCUCCUAUAGGUCUAUUCCAUGGGACUGACUCACCUAUAGGUCUAUUCCAUGGGACUCACUCACCUCCUAUAGGCCUAUUCCAUGGGACUGACUCACCUAUAGGCCUAUUCCAUGGGAAUGACUCACCUAUAGGUCUAUUCCAUGGGACUGACUCACCUAUAGGUCUAUUCCAUUUGACUGACUCACCUAUAGGUCUAUUCCAUGGGACUGACUCACCUAUAGGUCUAUUCCAUGACUCACCUAUAGGUCUAUUCCAUGGGACUGACUCACCUAUAGGUCUAUUCCAUGACUCACCUCCUAUAGGUCUAUUCCAUGGGACUGACUCACCUAUAGGUCUAUUCCAUGGGACUGACUCACCUCCUAUAGGCCUAUUCCAUGGGACUGACUCACCUAUAGGUCUAUUCCAUGGGACUGACUCACCUCCUAUAGGUCUAUUCCAUGGGACUGACUCACCUAUAGGUCUAUUCCAUGGGACUGACUCACCUCCUGUAGGUCUAUUCCAUGGGACUGACUCACCUCCUAUAGGUCUAUUCCAUGGGACUGACUCACCUCCUAUAGGUCUAUUCCAUGGGACUGACUCACCUCCUAUAGGCCUAUUCCAUGGGACUGACUCACCUCCUAUAGGCCUAUUCCAUGGGACUGACUCACCUCCUAUAGGUCUAUUCCAUGGGACUGACUCACCUCCUAUAGGUCUAUUCCAUGGGACUGACUCACCUAUAGGUCUAUUCCAUGGGACUGACUCACCUCCUGUAGGUAUAUUCCAUGGGACUGACUCACCUCCUAUAGGUCUAUUCCAUGGGACUGACUCACCUCCUAUAGGCCUAUUCCAUGGGACUGACUCACCUCCUAUAGGCCUAUUCCAUGGGACUGACUCACCUCCUAUAGGCCUAUUCCAUGGGACUGACUCACCUAUAGGUCUAUUCCAUGGGACUGACUCACCUCCUAUAGGUCUAUUCCAUGGGACUGACUCACCUAUAGGUCUAUUCCAUGGGACUGACUCACCUAUAGGCCUAUUCCAUGGGACUGACUCACCUAUAGGUCUAUUCCAUGGGACUGACUCACCUAUAGGUCUAUUCCAUGGGACUGACUCACCUCAUAUAGGUCUAUUCCAUGGGACUGACUCACCUAUAGGUCUAUUCCAUGGGACUGACUCACCUAUAGGCCUAUUCCAUGGGACUGACUCACCUCCUAUAGGUCUAUUCCAUGGGACUGACUCACCUAUAGGCCUAUUCAUUGGGACUGACUCACCUCCUAUAGGUCUAUUCCAUGGGACUGACUCACCUAUAGGUCUAUUCCAUGGGACUCACUCACCUCCUAUAGGCCUAUUCCAUGGGACUGACUCACCUAUAGGCCUAUUCCAUGGGAAUGACUCACCUAUAGGUCUAUUCCAUGGGACUGACUCACCUAUAGGUCUAUUCCAUUUGACUGACUCACCUAUAGGUCUAUUCCAUGGGACUGACUCACCUAUAGGUCUAUUCCAUGACUCACCUAUAGGUCUAUUCCAUGGGACUGACUCACCUAUAGGUCUAUUCCAUGACUCACCUCCUAUAGGUCUAUUCCAUGGGACUGACUCACCUAUAGGUCUAUUCCAUGGGACUGACUCACCUAUAGGCCUAUUCCAUGACUCACCUCCUGUAGGUCUAUUCCAUGACUCAACUCCUGUAGGUCUAUUCCAUGACUCAACUCCUGUAGGUCUAUUCCAUGACUCACCUCCUGUAGGUCUAUUCCAUGACUCACCUCCUGUAGGUCUAUUCCAUGACUCACCUCCUGUAGGUCUAUUCCAUGACUCACCUCCUGUGGGUCUAUUCCAUGACUCACCUCCUGUAGGUCUAUUCCAUGACUCACCUCCUGUAGGUCUAUUCCAUAACUCACCUCCUGUAGGUCUAUUCCAUGACUCACCUCCUGUAGGUCUAUUCCAUGACUCACCUCCUGUAGGUCUAUUCCAUGACUCACCUCCUGUAGGUCUAUUCCAUGACUCACCUCCUGUAGGUCUAUUCCAUGACUCACCUCCUGUAGGUCUAUUCCAUGACUCACCUCCUGUAGGUCUAUUCCAUGACUCACCUCCUGUAGGUCUAUUCCAUGACUCACCUCCUGUAGGUCUAUUCCAUGACUCACCUCCUGUAGGUUUAUUCCAUGACUCACCUCCUGUAGGUCUAUUCCAUGGGACUGUAUGGUGA
ensembl:lncRNA